rnacentral:rRNA from 1 species
AGAGUUUGAUCAUGGCUCAGAUUGAACGCUGGCGGCAUGCCUAACACAUGCAAGUCGAACGGCAGCACAGUAUGUAGCAAUACAUAUGGGUGGCGAGUGGCGGACGGGUGCGUAAUAUGUAGGGAUCUGCCUUGAAGUGGGGGACAACCCGGGGAAACCCGGGCUAAUACCGCAUAAUACUCUACGGAGGAAAUCUGGCACGCAAGUGCUGGGGCUUUAAGAUGAACCUACAUCCGAUUAGCUAGUUGGUGAGGUAAUGGCUCACCAAGGCAAUGAUCGGUAACUGGUCUGAGAGGAUGACCAGUCACACUGGGACUGAGACACGGCCCAGACUCCUACGGGAGGCAGCAGUGGGGAAUAUUGGACAAUGGGGGAAACCCUGAUCCAGCAAUGCCGCGUGGGUGAAGAAGGCCUUCGGGUUGUAAAGCCCUUUAGGCGGGGAAGAAGGUUAUAGGGUGAUAAGCCUUAUAACUUGACGGUACCCGCAGAAUAAGCACCGGCUAACUCUGUGCCAGCAGCCGCGGUAAUACAGAGGGUGCGAGCGUUAAUCGGAUUUACUGGGCGUAAAGGGCGCGUAGGUGGCAAAGCAAGUAAGAUGUGAAAGCCCUGGGCUUAACCUGGGAAGUGCAUCUUAAACUGCUUAGCUAGAGUAUGGUAGAGGGUAGUGGAAUUUCCGGUGUAGCGGUGAAAUGCGUAGAGAUCGGAAGGAACGCCAGUGGUGAAGACGACUACCUGGACCAAUACUGACACUGAGGCGCGAAAGCGUGGGGAUCAAACAGGAUUAGAUACCCUAGUAGUCC